UGUGGAUGGUGCAGAAGAUUAAUUGCUAUUUGAAUGUUAAGGGUGACAACUUUAACCCCAAGAUCACUGUUGCA